rnacentral:tRNA from 1 species
GGAGAGGUGGCAGAGCGGUUUAUCGCACCGGUCUUGAAAACCGGAGUCUCCUUACGGGGACCGGGGGUUCAAAUCCCUCCCUCUCCGCCA